AAACCGAAAGGGCAAAUCUUGAGCAAUCAAGAUACGCAAAGUUCCAGCGGAGUACCACUCGGAAAAGUCGGGUACACCGGGCUGAGCUGCCGAU
rnacentral:ncRNA from 1 species